rnacentral:rRNA from 1 species
GACGAACGCUGGCGGCGUGCCUAAUACAUGCAAGUAGAACGCAGUUGCGAACGGGUGAGUAACGCGUAGGUAACUGCCUCAUAGCGGGGGAUAACACUUGGAAACGAUAGCUAAAACCCCAUACUUGGAGAUGGACCUGCGUUGUAUUAGGUAGGUGGUGAGGUAAAGGGUCACCAAGGCCACGAUACAUAGCCGGGCUGAGAGGGUGGACGGCCACACUGGGACUGGGACACCGGCCAGAACCCUACGGGAGGCAGCCGUAGGGGAACUUCGGAAAAGGGCGGAAGGCUGGACGAGCAACGCCGGGGGAGGGAAGAAAGGUUUCGGGGCGGAAAGGUCUGUUGUGCGGGAAGCGGUACCUGAACAGAAAGGGCCGGCUAACUACGUGCCAGCAGCCGCGGUAAUAC